CAGCCGCCACGGGAAUACAGAGGGUGCGAGCGUUAAUCGGAUUUACUGGGCGUAAAGCGUGCGUAGGCGGCUAAUUGAGUCGGAUGUGAAAUCCCCGAGCUUAACUUGGGAAUUGCAUUCGAUACUGGUUAGCUAGAGUGUGGGAGAGGAUGGUAGAAUUCCAGGUGUAGCGGUGAAAUGCGUAGAGAUCUGGAGGAAUACCUAUGGCGAAGGCAGCCAUCUGGCCUAACACUGACGCUGAGGUACGAAAGCAUGGGGAGCAAACAGGAUUAGAUACCCGCGUAGUCCCUGUCUCUUAUAC
rnacentral:rRNA from 1 species